rnacentral:rRNA from 1 species
GCCCCGUUAGGGUACUCAUGUUUGUCCAGCGGUCACGAUCCCAGCUUGCUGGGAGGCGUCGAGCGGCGGACGGGUGAGUAAUGCAUAGGAAUCUGCCCGGUAGUGGGGGAUAACUUGAGGAAACUCAAGCUAAUACCGCAUACGCCCUACGGGGGAAAGCAGGGGCUCUUCGGACCUUGCGCUAUCGGAUGAGCUUAUGUCGGAUUAGCUAGUUGGUGAGGUAACGGCUUACCAAGGCGACGAUCCGUAGCUGGUCUGAGAGGAUGAUCAGCCACAUCGGGACUGAGACACGGCCCGAACUCCUACGGGAGGCAGCAGUGGGGAAUAUUGGACAAUGGGCGAAAGCCUGAUCCAGCCAUGCCGCGUGUGUGAAGAAGGCCCUCGGGUUGUAAAGCACUUUCAGUGAGGAAGAAGGCUUGUCGGUUAAUACCCGGCAGGAAGGACAUCACUCACAGAAGAAGCCCCGGCUAACUCCGUGCCAGCAGCCGCGGUAAUACGGAGGGGGCAAGCGUUAAUCGGAAUUACUGGGCGUAAAGCGUGCGUAGGCGGCUUGGUAAGCCGGUUGUGAAAGCCCCGGGCUCAACCUGGGAAUGGCAUCCG